rnacentral:rRNA from 1 species
UACGUAGGGUGCGAGCGUUGUCCGGAAUUACUGGGCGUAAAGAGCUCGUAGGUGGUUUGUCGCGUUGUUCGUGAAAACUCACAGCUCAACUGUGGAACUGCCUCGGAUACUGGGAGUCUCGAGGGUGGCAGGGGUAUGCGGAACUAUCGGUGGAGCGGUGAAAUGCGUUGAUAUCGAUAGGAACUCCGGUGGCGAAGGCGGCAUACUGGUCCACUUCUGACGCUGAGGCGCGAAAGCGUGGGGAGCAAACAGG